UGGGGAAUAUUGGGCAAUGGGCGAAAGCCUGACCCAGCAACGCCGCGUGAGUGAUGAAGGCCUUCGGGUUGUAAAACUCUUUGGACAGGGACGAAGAAAGUGACGGUACCUGUAGAACAAGUCACGGCUAACUACGUGCCAGCAGCCGCGGUAAUACGUAGGUGGCGAGCGUUAUCCGGAUUUACUGGGCGUAAAGGGCGUGUAGGCGGCUAGAUAAGUGUGAUGUUUAAAUCCAAGGCUUAACCUUGGGGUUCAUUACAUACUGUUUAGCUUGAGUGCUGGAGAGAAUAGUGGAAUUCCUAAUGUAGCGGUAAAAUGCGUAGGUAUUAGGAGGAACACCGAUGGAGAAGGCGGGUAUCUGGACAGUAACUGACGCUGAGGCGCGAAAGCGUGGGGAGCAAGCAGG
rnacentral:rRNA from 1 species